ACAAAUGCAGGUCUAAAAUCCUUCUAAAAUGUCACAUAGGUAUAUAAAGUGUUUUAAUCCAAUUGACGCGAGUAAUAAAAAUUCCUUAUCUGUAAUUAUUAUCGUAAAGAGGAAAUAAAACUCGGAAAAUUCAGAAAGAUGACUAUUUUUGUUUAAAAAUCUGGAUGCUACAACUCCAGGAGAUAUUUUGCUUUUCAACAGAUAAAUUAUCUAGGCACGUAACUCGGUUGGAGUCUCGAAGACUGAGGAAUUGCGGAAUUGGAGAGAAAUUUACUGUUAGGGGACGGCGGACUGAAAUAGCACAGGAACCAGACUGGGCAUAUCGGAUCGCAGCAGACUGAUAUCUACGCGAUGACAUUUAAUUUACUAUAAUUUUACAUGAUAAAUGAUCAUUAUUAUUAAAUGAGCCGCUGUACCUAGCGACAAGGUAAUUUAUAAAAUAUAAUUUGCAAAUUACAUAUCUA